UGAGGAAUAUUGGUCAAUGGCCGAGAGGCUGAACCAGCCAAGUCGCGUGAGGGAUGAAGGUUCUAUGGAUCGUAAACCUCUUUUAUAAGGGAAUAAAGUGACCCACGUGUGGGUUUUUGUAUGUACCUUAUGAAUAAGGAUCGGCUAACUCCGUGCCAGCAGCCGCGGUAAUACGGAGGAUCCGAGCGUUAUCCGGAUUUAUUGGGUUUAAAGGGUGCGUAGGCGGCCCCUUAAGUCAGCGGUGAAAGUCUGUGGCUCAACCAUAGAAUUGCCGUUGAAACUGGGGGGCUUGAGUAUGUUUGAGGCAGGCGGAAUGCGUGGUGUAGCGGUGAAAUGCUUAGAUAUCACGAAGAACUCCGAUUGCGAAGGCAGCCUACUAAACUGCCACUGACAUUGAUGCUCGAAAGUGUGGGUAUCAAACAGGAUUAGAUACCC
rnacentral:rRNA from 1 species